UUCUCAAUCUUGUGCUCAUCUGUUUCCCCCUUUCUCAGGGGGAGUGGAUGUGAUAAAGAAAAAAUAAACAGUCAAAGAAAAAGCAUAUGGAAAAGAUAUGUAAGCAAAUAUCAAGAUAAAAAACAACGACUAGACUACAAAACAAAGCUCAAGAAAUAAUAGGAAGUGCAAGAGAAAAACAAAGCUGUGUUUUUUGAGACAGAAAUAAAGGCUACUUUGAAACACCAAUA